rnacentral:tRNA from 2 species
GCUGUGGUGGCCGAGUGGUUAAGGCGUCUGUCUUAAGAACAGAUGGAGUAUCCGCGCAAGUUCGAACCUUGCCCACAGCA